CAAUUUGAACAUACAAACUUUUAGGGAUAUAGAAUAAUAUACUACAUUAAAAUGAGAUAUGAAUUCCGAAGUAUUACUUUUCUCUCUGGUCUCACAAUCAGAUCAGUAUGACAGGGCAUCGGUGACUCUGCGUCACUUGGGGGCCAGUCAGGGCUGAGAGUCCUCUGUGGUCAGGGGCUCUGUCCAGACUGAAAGCUAUGGUCAGUCUGCGGUGGCUCUUUCCUGAGAAAGAAUUCUGGGGAGAAAAACCCAUGCCUUAUUUUUAGCCAGACAGUACCCAGUAUCUGAAGCCGGCUCACACAGGCGCCUCAGAGCCGACUGUCCCAUUGCUAGGGAUUCUGUGAGCUCGUUAUUAAACACAGCCAUUGCCAGUGGCUCUCUCCUGAGGUGAAUCUGUCCCUCAGGAGACAUCUGGCAAUGGCUGGAGACGUUUUGGGUGGUCACAGCUUGGGGGAGGGGUGCAUCUAGCAUCUAGUGAGUGGAGGCUGGGGGGUGCUGCGAGCACAGUGCACUGGCCAGCGUGCCCCCCGACCCCAACAAAGUCUCUCCUGCCCAAAUGUCAACAGUGUUGAUGGUAAGAAACCCUAACCUAAAAUUGCAAUUAAAUAGGAGUUCCCUGCCAGCUUAGGGAUUAAGGACUCAGCCUUGUUACUGCUGUGGCUCAGGUGUGACCCCCAGCCGGAGAACUUCCUCAUACCAGGGGCAGGCCAAAAAUUAAUAAAUAAAUUAAAAUAAAAUCACCAUUAAAUAACUCAUGUUAACAACAAAGGGAAGGAGUUCCCUGGUGGCCUCGGGGUUAGGACUCAGUGCUUCCACGGCUGCAGCCCAAGUUCAAUCCCUGAUCCGGGAACUGAGAUCCCACAUCAAGUGGCCGCAUGCUGAUAGCCAAAACACAAACAAAAACAAACAAGCAAAAAGGAACACAUACUCAAAACUUAUCACUUACUAUUAUUCUACUAAAUUGCACUACAAUGGUGGGGCCUGCUAGGCACUGCUUCCCCAACUUCACGGUCAACGACAUCCUGUUUGGGUGAAAUCCCUGGAAGGAGACUUUACACUACAGACAUUGGCAAAGACUACAAAACCCAUCCCCUUUCUUUCUACACACACACACCAUGUACGCUUCACACCCACACUACAGGUACACCACACACACCUAUACACACCAUACCCAGACUCCACACACACAUACGAAGCACACCCCACAUACACACCUGCAACACACCCCUCACACAUCUCACCUACGACUCCCCAGACACACACCCCACAUAAACACACACGUGCUCCCACAGCAGCCCUCCAGCCAGCAGAGGACGGACUUAAAUCAUGAGAAGAAGAGGAGGUCAGUCUGCCUGACCACUUUCUUUGCUGUCUGACCUCUCUGCCUGUUGGCUCUCCUCAUCCCAAGGCGCAUCCAACCUACACCCCCCCACCUGCCACGACACCUGCGAAGGUGAAGGUCUCAACCCCUCCAGGAGCACAGACCAGGGACCCCCACCCCCACCCCAUCCCAGGCCCUUUCCUCUCGGCCACUGGAGCCCUGGCUGAGGGGUCCCCCAGCCCUGCCCCGUGCCCAGCUCUCCGAAGGCUCCGAGUGAAGUCCAGCUGGCCGUGGCUCCAGGGCCUUGCCUCCAUCCCUGCCCAGGGCCAGUGACAAGCAGUUGCCUUGGUGACUCCACCCACCUGGCCCCUUAUCAGAUGCUGAUAAGCCAAAGCUCCAUCUCCAGCCAGAUCCUCUCUGCACCCCCUCCUCACUAGCCCUGGGACAGCUAUACUCGGAUGUCCCCUGACUCCUCAGACAAGUCCCAAACAGACUUCCUGUCUGCUCAUAACCACUCCUCAGGCCGUGGGAGACCCAGCGUGGGGGGCUGCAGGCGGCAGCAGCCAGGCCAGGGCAGGCCCCGCUGGAUCGGCUCUCCGCAGCCCCGAGUGAGGGGCUGGUUACAAAGAAAAGGAAAAGGCGUUCCUGAUACGCGUCCUGUUUCCUCCCCUCCUCUGGGCUUCUCGGGCCUUGGAAGGCGGAUGUCCCUGGGCUGGCAGUACACGGACAGGCAGAGGGUCAGGGUCUCUGGCGGCCCUUUCCACCCCAGCGGUCUGGCUGCAUAAAGACAGGUGCUCCCAAGUGACCCUUAAAUUCCCCUUUCCAGCCUGGAGGAGCGCGCCCUCUCUCCCCAGAGGGAACUCACACCGGCAGGCACCUCCUUCCAUCAGACUGUCCCAGAAAGGCAUCUCCACUGGGAAACCUCCCGUGUCACCGUCCUUUGCUACAGGAGCCCCUCUAAAGCGCCCCCUUCUGCCUUCUUCCCUGCCCCACAGCAGCUUCGCCCUGCUCGGCUCUCGCUGUGCCGAUUGCCUGCAGACGCGGGCUCUCCAUGAGUCAGGCCAGGAAUGGGGGAGCCAAGGCAAAGGCCAUCAAACGGGGCUCUGAAGGGAGAGAACACGAGGAGCCUCCUCCCUCAGACAGGGCGACAGGGAGCCUUCCUGACGACUGACCGAGGUCUGAUCUCCUCUAUCAGAUAAGAAUUCUCCCCAGGGAAGUGGCCGUGACUCCUCCCUCAGCCUCCAAGCAGACAAAGUCCAUGCCUCCUUCCUCAGACAGGAGCUGCUAGAGGACCAGAGGGCUAGGCCCCCUCCAUCAGAGAGGGAGUCCCAGACAGCAGGAACCUCAUUUCCCCCAUCAGAGCGAAGUCUCUCAGAGUUCCCAUCAUGGCUCAGUGGUUAAUGAAGCCAACUAGUAUCCAUGAGGACACAGGUUCAAUCCCUGGCCUCGCUCAGUGGGUUAAGGAUCCAGCAUUGCUGUGAGCUGUGGUGUAGGUUGCAGUCAGCUCAGAUCUGGUGUGGCUGUGGCUGUGGUGUAGGCCGGCAGCUACAACUCCGAUGCGACCCCUAGCCUGGGAAUCUCCACAUGCUGCGGGUGCGGCCCUAAAAAGACAAAAAAAAAAAAAAAAAAAAAAAAAAGAACACAGUCUCUCUCCCGGAGGACAGGACCUGGCCUCUCCAUCAGACUAGGAACUCCCAGAGGGCACAGUCCCUGUCUGCUGCCUCCUCAGCAGUUCCCAAAAAAGACUUGAGCUCAGUCUAAGACGCAGAGCGGGACAGAACUGGGAUGGGGGGGCUUGCCCACAUCCUUCCUCACACGGGGUCCCAUGCCAACUUCCCAUCCAUGCUCGCAACUGAACGGAAGCUGCCUUAAGACAGCCAUGCGUCUGGGCAGAGGCCAGCAGCUGUCUAUUUCAACCAGCAAUGCUGACUUCUCGCGAGAUAGUGGUAGGAGAUCCCUGACAAGAAGAUACCUAGGACAGGCUGGGCACCCAGCUCUGGCCUGCAAGUGACCAGAUGAGUGGGCUGGCCAGAUGUGGGGGCUCUUGAUUCUGCCACUAAAGGGGCAAACCUCCUCCCCCCGUGGCCGGGAACACCCCCUGCCCACUUCCAAACUUCCUCAGCACUUUAGCUGCUGGCUAAAGCGGCAGGAGGCUUCAGGGAGAAGCCUUCCUGGGUCCUGCCUUGAGGACAGCACUGGCCUUCCCCGGUGCCGUCCCUGAGCCCGGGCCAAGUCGCCUCCACGAUGGUCUUCCCUACAGGAGCCAGCUCCAGGGAGCUGCUAUUAGUUAGCAUCGAUCCACAAAGUGCUCUGCCGACACUUUUCAUGAGCUCAGCCUCACCCAGGGCCCUGGGGGCUGCGAGCAAGAAAGAGACAGCCGCUGAGCCGGGAGCCCAGGUCCCUGGGCAGAGCCAGGGAGCAGCUGAGCCCCACAACCAAGGCCCAGACGAGCUGAAGGCCAGCACUCUGCAAAUGUCAGCUGAACACGGGGUGUUCACUGAAAAGCCACCUGGCUGCAUCUGAGAACUAAAUUUGGGUGUAUUUUCUUAUUAAGAAAUCACAAUAGGCGUUCCCGUCUUGGCACAGUGGUUAACGAAUCCGACUAGGAACCAUGAGGUUGCGGGUUCGAUCCCUGGCCUCGCUCAGUGGGUUAAGGAUCCGGCGUUGCUGUGAGCUGUGGUGUAAGUGGCAGACGCGGCUCGGAUCCCGAGUUGCUGUGGCUCUGGUGUAGGCCGGCAGCUACAGCUUCGAUUCCACGCCUAGCCUGGGAAUCUCCAUAUGCUGCAAAGGCAGCCCUAGAAAAGGCAAAAAGACAAAAAAAGAAAGAAAUCGCAAUAAUGAUGAUGAUGAUUAUAACUGAUGUUUGUUAAGAGUUUAAUACAAGGCAGGCACUCUUCUAAACACUUGUAUUCGACUCAUCUACUCUGCACAAGAACCCGGAGAGAAAUAUCCUCGUGAUCCCUACUCUCGAUAGGGAGAAACACAGAGAAGAAACUUGCCCACAGUCGCAGAGCAAAAAUAAGAAACGUCAGCAGCUCAAACCAUCUGCUUGAGAAAUCAGGAAGUGAAAAUCGACUAACAGCGCUUCUGGAUCUGAAAAGAAUUAGAGACUUUUGAAAGAUACGGUUUAUCCUAAGCGGGUUCCGAGCCAAAUACUCGCCGUAUUGAACACCGUGUGGUACAGCUCAGAUAGAAGAGGUUCUCUGAAAGAGCAGUAUUACGAACGGAAAGCAUGUGCUUAUCAGCCGUCUCAAAAUCAUAGCUAUCCUUCAUCUGAAAUUUCUGAGUGAUUUUAUUAAAGCAAGAGAAAGCAAACUCAAAAACCCACAAUUAUUUUAAGAUUUAUCUUAUGUGGAGUUCCCACUGUGGCACAGUGGAAACGAAUCCGACUAGGAACCAUAAGGUUACAGUUUGAUCCCUGGCCUUGCUCAGUGGGUUAAGGAUCAGGCGUUGCCGUGAGCUGAGGUGUAGGCCGGCAGCUGUAGCUCUGAUUCGACCCCUAGCCUGAGAACUUCCAUAUGCCACGGGUGUGGCCCUAAAAAAAGAAAAAAAAAAAAUAAUAAUAAUAAUUUAUUUGUCACAUGUGUUAUUCCCUGGAAGAGGGACUUUACUGAGCCUCCAGGCUGAGGGCACCUCUCUCCUUGGCAGGCAGGAUGCAGUGGGUGUUUGCUCGCCCGGAUGGGAGACACUGUGGGGCAGGGCCUGCGCUUGGCUCAGACACCGUGCGCCAUGAGGGAGCCAAGGGCUUGGGCUCAGGCAGCCCUGCUGCUUCCUGAGCCUGAGCUUCAGCUGUCCAGGGUGUAAAGCAAGGCCCCGGAUCCCAGCUAGAGCUCUGUGAGUGGUGAAAACACUACCGCCACUACCGCGGCCACCAUCCCCACAAUAAACAGACCGGCUGGGUGGCCCCGAGCUGGCCCCCGAUAGACAGGGUUCAGCGGGUUCUCUGGCUCUCCGUGCGGGUCAGGUUACCUUGCACGGGCCCGGGCAGCUGAGAGGAGAUAAUGCGUGUGAGGCGUUCCUGGGAGGCCAGAGAGCUGGGCAGAGACGAAGGCCUGCUCUUAGGACAAGGCUGAAUUAUCGAGCCUUUUUAAGAAAUGCGUUUCCAUUACUUCCAAGAACACACAGGCUUGCGGAAGCAGUGGGCACACUGAAGCCAGCCAAGAGCCGCUGCUGUCAGUGAGGUAGCAAGCAGGGCAGCGCCUUCCCCGGGCACCUACACCCCGGGGCCACAGCAGCAUAGCCGGAUUGCUAGCCCAUCUCCAGCCUGCUCCUCACACAGCCUUGGGGGGCAGGGGAGGCGGGGAGGGCCUGAGCCACUAGCCCUCUGGAGUCACAACUGGGAACCAGCUCCACCUGCCCCCAGCCAGAGGCUCAGGCCAUCUGUCCCCCAAUCCCCGGGAGGCCCCACAAAUGGUGAAAGAAGUAGGGCCGAGCCAUGGGAACAGGGUCCAGAUCUCUACCCUGGCACUUCAUGGCUCCUCACUGCACCCGUCCUCAUCUGGAUAAUGGGGUCCCAUGACCACCUCCAGGGUGUGGAGGGGAACGAAUGUCCUGGACCACAGUCCCAGUUCAAUAUACGGUAGGACUAGGGCACUGAGCGACACCUGCAGUGCCAGGAUGAACAAGGCUGUUCAGAACCCUGGAGAGAUGGAGAUGGGGGAGGGGACAAGUAACCACAGGCAAGAACACACAGCAAGGGGGUGGACGCGCCUUUGACCAUCACGCUGCAUCUUCCAACAUUUAUUUGGUCCUCUCUGUGUAUCUAGUGGGCCCGAGGCACUGGGUCACGGGCCUCCUGGGGGGUCCCUGCAGUGUGGUGCAUGAGCUUAUGGG
rnacentral:lncRNA from 1 species